rnacentral:rRNA from 1 species
CCUACGGGUGGCUGCAGUGGGGAAUAUUGGACAAUGGGGGGAACCCUGAUCCAGCCAUGCCGCGUGUGUGAAGAAGGCCCUCGGGUUGUAAAGCACUUUCAGUGAGGAAGAACGCCUGGUGGUUAAUACCCAUCAGGAAAGACAUCACUCACAGAAGAAGCACCGGCUAACUCCGUGCCAGCAGCCGCGGUAAUACGGAGGGUGCGAGCGUUAAUCGGAAUUACUGGGCGUAAAGCGCGCGUAGGUGGCUUGAUAAGCCGGUUGUGAAAGCCCCGGGCUCAACCUGGGAACGGCAUCCGGAACUGUCAAGCUAGAGUGCAGGAGAGGAAGGUAGAAUUCCCGGUGUAGCGGUGAAAUGCGUAGAGAUCGGGAGGAAUACCAGUGGCGAAGGCGGCCUCCUGGACUGACACUGACACUGAGGUGCGAAAGCGUGGGUAGCAAACAGGAUUAGAUACCCUAGUAGUC